CCAGCAUCUGCAAAGGGAAUUGGACAGACAAUAUAUUGUGUUGUGACCCUUCUUUAGAUUGAUGGAGUAGGAGGG